UAGAGUUUGAUCCUGGCUCAGGAUGAACGCUAGCUACAGGCUUAACACAUGCAAGUCGAGGGGAAACGACAUGAAAGCUUGCUUUUAUGGGCGUCGACCGGCGCACGGGUGCGUAACGCGUAUCCAACCUGCCCCGUACCCCGGGAUAGUCUUUCGAAAGGGAGGUUAACACCGGAUGCUGCAGCUGCUCCGCAUGGUGAAGUUGCGAAAUGUGAAGGUACGGGCUGGGGAUGCGUCCCAUUAGAUAGUUGGCGGGGUAACGGCCCACCAAGUCUACGAUGGGUAGGGGUUCUGAGAGGAAGGUCCCCCACAUUGGAACUGAGACACGGUCCAAACUCCUACGGGAGGCAGCAGUGAGGAAUAUUGGUCAAUGGGCGAGAGCCUGAACCAGCCAAGUAGCGUGCGGGAUGAAGGCCCUAUGGGUUGUAAACCGCUUUUGCAGGGGGGUAAAGUGCGCCACGUGUGGUGUAUUGCAAGUACCCUGCGAAUAAGGACCGGCUAAUUCCGUGCCAGCAGCCGCGGUAAUACGGAAGGUCCGGGCGUUAUCCGGAUUUAUUGGGUUUAAAGGGAGCGUAGGCCGCAGGUUAAGCGUGUUGUGAAAUGUAGGGGCUCAACCUCUGCACUGCAGCGCAAACUGGCUUGCUUGAGUACGCACAACGUGGGCGGAAUUCGUGGUGUAGCGGUGAAAUGCUUAGAUAUCACGAAGAACUCCGAUUGCGAAGGCAGCUCACGGGAGCGCAACUGACGCUGAAGCUCGAAAGUGCGGGUAUCGAACAGGAUUAGAUACCCUGGUAGUCCGCACGGUAAACGAUGGAUGCCCGCUGUUGGUCUGAAUAGGUCAGCGGCCAAGCGAAAGCAUUAAGCAUCCCACCUGGGGAGUACGCCGGCAACGGUGAAACUCAAAGGAAUUGACGGGGGCCCGCACAAGCGGAGGAACAUGUGGUUUAAUUCGAUGAUACGCGAGGAACCUUACCCGGGCUUGAAUUGCAGAGGAAGGAUUUGGAGACAAUGACGCCCUUCGGGGCCUCUGUGAAGGUGCUGCAUGGUUGUCGUCAGCUCGUGCCGUGAGGUGUCGGCUUAAGUGCCAUAACGAGCGCAACCCCUCUCCUUAGUUGCCAUCAGGUUAAGCUGGGCACUCUGGGGACACUGCCACCGUAAGGUGUGAGGAAGGUGGGGAUGACGUCAAAUCAGCACGGCCCUUACGUCCGGGGCUACACACGUGUUACAAUGGCAGGUACAGAGAGAAGGUCGUGCGCAAGUACGAUCAAAUCCUUAAAGCCUGUCUCAGUUCGGACUGGGGUCUGCAACCCGACCCCACGAAGCUGGAUUCGCUAGUAAUCGCGCAUCAGCCAUGGCGCGGUGAAUACGUUCCCGGGCCUUGUACUCACCGCCCGUCA
rnacentral:rRNA from 1 species